CAGCAGCCGCGGGAAUACGUAGGGUGCAAGCGUUAAUCGGAAUUACUGGGCGUAAAGCGUGCGCAGGCGGUUGUGUAAGACAGGUGUGAAAUCCCCGGGCUUAACCUGGGAAUUGCAUUUGUGACUGCACGACUAGAGUGUGUCAGAGGGGGGUGGAAUUCCACGUGUAGCAGUGAAAUGCGUAGAUAUGUGGAGGAACACCAAUGGCGAAGGCAGCCCCCUGGGAUAACACUGACGCUCAUGCACGAAAGCGUGGGGAGCAAACAGGAUUAGAUACCCCAGUAGUCCCUGUCUCUUAUAC
rnacentral:rRNA from 1 species